UGUCAACCCGAAACGACAUUUUACUCCAGUAAGAUGCAGAUGAUCCUUAUCACGAUUUAGCUGAAGAAGUCAAUCGUCGAAACAGUGUUAUCGUUGAUCGCUUUCAGAACAAGUGCAGCUUCGGAAGUUAAACGUGCCGCUACAAUACUGAAACGCCACAGUUUAGCCUCCAAUGCCAUCGCAGCACUGGCGUAACUUGAAAAUCCACAAUUGCAUCUGUUCUGCAGAGUGAUAUACACAGUUGAAACUCGAACAGAGCAAGAAAAUGGAUGCAUCGAAUAGCAACAACAGUUCACUACUCAUACUCCACAAUACCAUAAUCUUCACUAUGGAUCCCCAAUCCCGAGUCUUCCGCAACGGGGCAAUCGUCAUCGACAACGAUCGAAUCAAAGCCAUUGGCCAAUCCUCUCACAUCCUCAGCGAAUUCUCUCCUCUUGCUAACCAAAUCGUGGAUCUGCACGGCCAAUUCCUACUCCCUGGUUUGAUCAACACACAUGUUCAUACCUCACAACAACUCGCCAGAGGCAUAGCUGACGAUGUUGAUUUGAUGACUUGGUUACACGAUCGCAUUUGGCCUUACGAGUCUAACAUGACUGAAGAAGAUUCAUACAUCUCAACUUUACUUUGCGGAAUCGAACUCAUUCACUCUGGUGUAACAUGCUUUGCAGAAGCUGGAGGACAGCAUGUGUCUGGAAUGGUGAGGGCAGUAGAGUUGCUGGGCUUGCGCGCAUGUUUAACUGAGUCAACUAUGGACUCUGGUAAUGGUUUACCAGCAUCUUGGGGUGUUCGAACCGCAGAUGAUUGUAUUCAGUCUCAAAAGAAACUGUAUGAGAAGCACCAUAAUGCAGCAGAUGGCCGCAUUAGAAUAUGGCUUGGAAUAAGGCAAAUUAUGAAUUCUACUGAUCGUUUACUAACUGAAACGAGGGACACUGCAAAAGAACUGAAAACUGGAAUCCACAUGCAUGUUGCAGAGAUAGCUUAUGAGAAUCAAUUUGUGAUGAGUACUCGAGAAGUUGAACAUGGGACAGUUACAUACCUGGAGAAAAUCAAAUUCCUACAAAGCAAUUUGCUGGCAGCUCACAGUGUUUGGGUCAAUGAAACUGAGAUAAAUUUUCUUUCAAAAGCUGGGGUAAAAGUAUCCCACUGUCCUGCUGCUGCAAUGAGAAUGCUUGGAUUUGCACCCAUAAAGGAAAUGCUUGAUGCUAACAUUUGUGUCUCCUUGGGAACUGAUGGGGCACCAUCCAAUAAUAGAAUGAGCAUUGUUGAUGAGAUGUACCUAGCUUCUCUGAUCAACAAAGGACGAGAAGUUUAUGUGAAGGGAACAACUGAUCCUACAGCUCUUCCUGCUGAAACGAUUCUCAAAAUGGUGACUGUAAAUGGUGCCAAAUCAGUAUUGUGGGACAAUGAAAUAGGGUCACUUGAGAUUGGGAAAAGGGCUGACAUGAUCAUAGUCAACCCUUUCUCUUGGCCUAUGGUUCCUGUGCAUGACAGCCAGCCUUGUAUAUUGCAUGCGAAGUGAAAAUAUACUCUCAGUUAUGUGCAACGGCCGCUGGAUUAUGAAGGAUCAAAAAAUAUUGAGUGUGGAUGAGGGAGAAGUCAUUUCAAUGGCAAAGCAUGCUUCUAGCCAACUUUUGAAGAGAGCAGGUAUCCAGAUUCCUACCAGAAUGAAUGCCCUUUAAAUUUCACACCCUUUGUAUGAAUAAUAACCAGGCAUAUAAUAAUGUUGUAUUUGUGGAAAAUAAAAGCAACCAAAACAGUUCUUUUUUUUGUUGUAUGAUUGUAAUUGUUCAAUGCGAGUUAUUUUCCCAUAGAAGAAAAUGAUGAACAGUUCUGACAGUAGCGGCAUGACAAUUUGUGACUAAACGUUUGAUCCAAUUCUUUUAUUGAAUUUGUCAAAUGAAGAGAGAAAUUUUUUUAAAAGAUAGUUUUUCAUCAAAUCAAUGAUAAAUUAAAUUUUUAACCAAAUCUCUAAUGCAUAUUUUUUAAGAUAGGUUUAGAACUUUUCCCAAAAAAAAAAAAAAACUACUACUAUUGGAGUCCUCCAUAUGAGAUGAAGUUUUUGAGGGGUUGUUUGGGGUGUCCUAAAUAAGUGUAUUUUUUUGACUUUUUAGACUAAAAAGUUGAGGAAAAAAA